GACGAACGCUGGCGGCGUGCUUAACACAUGCAAGUCGAGCGGUAAGGCCCUUUCGGGGGUACACGAGCGGCGAACGGGUGAGUAACACGUGGGUGACCUGCCCUUAGCUCUGGGAUAAGCCUGGGAAACUGGGUCUAAUACCGGAUAUGACUCCAUAACGCAUGUUGUGGGGUGGAAAGCCUUGUGCGGCUAGGGAUGGGCCCGCGGCCUAUCAGCUUGUUGGUGGGGUGAUGGCCACCAAGGCGACGACGGGUAGCCGGCCUGAGAGGGCGACCGGCCACACUGGGACUGAGACACGGCCCAGACUCCUACGGGAGGGCAGCAGUGGGGAAUCUUGCGCAAUGGGGCGAAAGCCUGACGCAGCGACGCCGCGUGGGGAGU
rnacentral:rRNA from 1 species